rnacentral:rRNA from 1 species
UACGUAGGGUGCGAGCGUUAAUCGGAAUUACUGGGCGUAAAGCGUGCGCAGGCGGUUUUGUAAGCCAGAUGUGAAAUCCCCGGGCUUAACCUGGGAACUGCAUUUGUGACUGCAUGGCUGGAGUGCGGCAGAGGGGGGUGGAAUUCCGCGUGUAGCAGUGAAAUGCGUAGAUAUGCGGAGGAACACCGAUGGCGAAGGCAAUCCCCUGGGCCUGCACUGACGCUCAUGCACGAAAGCGUGGGGAGCAAACAGG